UCUUACGUAUGAGUCAAGAAAGUGGUUUUUGAGAUGGAAGCUACUCCUGGUGAAGAUGCUGUGAA
rnacentral:pre_miRNA from 1 species